AUUGAACGCUGGCGGCAGGCCUAACACAUGCAAGUCGAACGAGUGGCGGACGGGUGAGUAAUGUCUGGGAAACUGACCGAUGGAGGGGGAUAGAUACUGGAAACGGUAGAUAAUACCGCAUACCAUCGGGUGUGCCAAGAUGGGAUUAGCUAGUAGGUGGGGUAACGGCUCACAUGGGCGACGAUCCCUAGCUGGUCUGAGAGGAUGACCAGCCAAACUGGAAAGUAGACAAGUCCCAGACUCCUGCGGGAGGCAGCAUUGGGGAAUAUUGCACAAUGGGCGCAAGCCUGAUGCAGCCAUGCCGCGUGUAUGAAGAAGGCCGUCGGGUUGUAAAGUACUUUCAGCGAGGAGGCGUGACUCGCAGAAGAAGCACCGGCUAACUCCGUGCCAGCAGCCGCGGUAAUAC
rnacentral:rRNA from 1 species